UUCUGUUCCAUUGAUCUGUGUAUCUACUUUUAUAUCAGCACCAUGCUGUUUUGGUGACUACAGCCUUACAGUAUAAUUUGAAGUCAGGUAAUGUAACACCUCCAGAUUUAUUCUUUUUGCUUAGGAUUGCUUUGGCUAUUCAGGCUUUUCUGGUGCCAUAUGAAUGUAGGAUGAGUUUUUUUAAUUCUGUGAAAAAUGAUGUUGGUAUUUUGACAGAAAUUGCAUGAAAUCUGUAGGUUGCUUUGA